rnacentral:rRNA from 1 species
AUAGGGGAGCCGUAGGGAAACCGAGUCUUAACUGGGCGAAUGAGUUGCAGGGUAUAGACCCGAAACCCGGUGAUCUAUCCAUGGGCAGGUUGAAGGUUGGGUAACACUAACUGGAGGACCGAACCGACUAAUGUUGAAAAAUUAGCGGAUGACUUGUGGAUGGGGGUGAAAGGCCAAUCAAACCGGGAGAUAGCUGGUUCUCCCCGAAAGCUAUUUAGGUAGCGCCUCGUGAACUCAUCUUCGGGGGUAGAGCACUGUUUCGACUAGGGGGUCAUCCCGACUUACCAACUCGAUGCAAACUGCGAAUACCGAAGAAUGUUAUCACGGGAGACACACGGCGGGUGCUAACGUCCGUCGUGAAGAGGGAAACAACCCAGACCGCCAGCUAAGGUCCCAAAGUCAUGGUUAAGUGGGAAACGAAGUGGGAAGGCUCAGACAGCCAGGAUGUUGGCUUAGAAGCAGCCAUCAUUUAAAGAAAGCGUAAUAGCUCACUGGUCGAGUCGGCCCGCGCGGAAGAUGUAACGGGGCUAAACCAUGCACCGAAGCUGCGGCAGCGACAC